rnacentral:rRNA from 1 species
CCUACGGGGGGCUGCAGUGGGGAAUAUUGCACAAUGGACGAAAGUCUGAUGCAGCAACGCCGCGUGGAGGAUGACACAUUUCGGUGCGUAAACUCCUUUUAUAUAAGAAGAUAAUGACGGUAUUAUAUGAAUAAGCACCGGCUAACUCCGUGCCAGCAGCCGCGGUAAUACGGGGGGUGCAAGCGUUACUCGGAAUCACUGGGCGUAAAGAGCAUGUAGGCGGAUUAAUAAGUUUGAAGUGAAAUCCUAUAGCUUAACUAUAGAACUGCUUUGAAAACUGUUAGUCUAGAAUGUGGGAGAGGUAGAUGGAAUUUCUGGUGUAGGGGUAAAAUCCGUAGAGAUCAGAAGGAAUACCGAUUGCGAAGGCGAUCUACUGGAACAUUAUUGACGCUGAGAUGCGAAAGCGUGGGGAGCAAACAGGAUUAGAUACCCGAGUAGUC